ACAGUGGACGCGAGCAUCUUUGUUGUAAGUAAUGAAGAGCGUACGGUGGAUGCCUUGGCACCAGGAGCCGAUGAAGGACGUAGGAGGCUGCGAUAAGCCUCGGGGAGCUGUCAACCGAGCUGUGAUCCGAGGGUGUCCGAAUGGGGAAACCCAGCACGAGUGAUGUCGUGUUACCUGCACCUGAAUAUAUAGGGUGUGUGGAGGGAACGUGGGGAAGUGAAACAUCUCAGUACCCACAGGAAGAGAAAACAACAGUGAUUCCGUGAGUAGUGGCGAGCGAAAGCGGAUGAGGCCAAACUUUGUGCGUGUGAUACCCGGCAGGGGUUGCGUAUGGAGGGUUGUGGGGUUUGCAUUGUCGAUUCUGCCGGAUCGGCCGACAGUGAGAAAUUGUGGUGUUAGUCGAAGUGGUCUGGAACGGCCUGUCGUAGAGGGUGAGAGUCCCGUAGACGAAAACAUUGCAACUGUCGUUGUGGAUACCCAAGUAGCAGCGGGCCCGUGAAAUCUGCUGUGAAUCUGUCGGGACCACCCGAUAAGCCUGAAUACUCCCUGGUGACCGAUAGCGGACUAGUACCGUGAGGGAAAGGUGAAAAGUACCCCGGGAGGGGAGUGAAAUAGUACCUGAAACCGUGCGCUUACAAUCCGUCAAAGCCGGUGCACGAUUCGUCGUGGCUGGUGAUGGCGUGCCUUUUGAAGAAUGAGCCUGCGAGUUAGUGGCAUGUCGCGAGGUUAACCCGUGUGGGGUAGCCGUAGCGAAAGCGAGUCCGAAUAGGGCGUAUCACCGCAAGGUGUGUAGUGGCGUGUUCUAGACCCGAAGCGGAGUGAUCUACCCAUGGCCAGGUUGAAGCGACGGUAAGACGUCGUGGAGGACCGAACCCACUUAGGUUGAAAACUGAGGGGAUGAGUUGUGGGUAGGGGUGAAAGGCCAAUCAAACUCCGUGAUAGCUGGUUCUCCCCGAAAUGCAUUUAGGUGCAGCGUCACGUGUUUCUCACCGGAGGUAGAGCUACUGGAUGGUCUAGGGGGCCUACAAGCUUACCGAAAUCAGCCAAACUCCGAAUGCCGGUGAGUGAGAGCGUGGCAGUGAGACUGCGGGCGAUAAGGUUCGUAGUCGAGAGGGAAACAGCCCAGAUCGCCAGCUAAGGUCCCUAAGCGUGUACUAAGUGGAAAAGGAUGUGGGGUCGCGAAGACAACCAGGAGGUUGGCUUAGAAGCAGCCACCCUUGAAAGAGUGCGUAAUAGCUCACUGGUCAAGUGAUCCUGCGCCGACAAUGUAGCGGGGCUCAAGUACACCACCGAAGCUGCGGCACUCACACAAUAGCCCGCUGUUCCCUUGCGAGGGUUCAGCCAGGUGUGUGGGUGGGUAGGGGAGCGUCGUGCAGCCAUGGAAGCAUCGGAGUGAUCCAGGUGUGGAGGCUGCGCGAGUGAGAAUGCAGGCAUGAGUAGCGAAAGACGAGUGAGAAACUCGUCCGCCGAAUGACCAAGGGUUCCUGGGCCAGGUUAAUCCGCCCAGGGUGAGUCGGGACCUAAGACGAGGCCGACAGGCGUAGCCGAUGGACAACGGGUUGAUAUUCCCGUACCCGUGUAACCGCGCCCAUGGUGAAUCAGUGACACUAACCACCCUGAAUCCAUAUGACUUGCCGCCUUCGGGUGGCCGGCGUGUGGUGGAUGCGUGGGACCUGAUCUGGUAGUAGCCAAGCGAUGGGGUGACGCAGGAAGGUAGCUGGGCCAGUCAGUGGUUGUACUGGUGUAAGCCUGUAGGGCGAACGGUAGGCAAAUCCGCCGUUCAUACAAGCCUGAGAGGUGAUGCGUAGCCGAUUGAGGCGAAUUCAGUGAUCCUAUGCUGCCGAGAAAAGCCUCUAGUGAGUUGUUACACGGCCCGUACCCCAAACCGACACAGGUGGUCAGGUAGAGAAUACUAAGGCGAUCGAGAUAACUAUGGUUAAGGAACUCGGCAAAAUGCCCCCGUAACUUCGGGAGAAGGGGGGCCUCGUCCGGUGAUGGAACUUGCUUCCUGAGCUGGGUGGGGCCGCAGAGACCAGUGAGAAGCGACUGUUUACUAAAAACACAGGUCCGUGCGAAGUCGUAAGACGAUGUAUACGGACUGACGCCUGCCCGGUGCUGGAAGGUUAAGAGGACCGGUUAGCCAGUAAUGGCGAAGCUGAGAAUUUAAGCCCCAGUAAACGGCGGUGGUAACUAUAACCAUCCUAAGGUAGCGAAAUUCCUUGUCGGGUAAGUUCCGACCUGCACGAAUGGCGUAACGACUUCUCAGCUGUCUCAACCAUAGACUCGGCGAAAUUGCAUUACGAGUAAAGAUGCUCGUUACGCGCGGCAGGACGAAAAGACCCCGGGACCUUCACUACAGCUUGGUAUUGGUGUUCGGUUCGGUUUGUGUAGGAUAGGUGGGAGACUGUGAAGCGGUGACGCCAGUUACUGUGGAGUCGUUGUUGAAAUACCACUCUGAUCGUAUUGGAUACCUCAACCUCGGACCAUGAUCUGGUUCAGGGACAGUGCCUGGUGGGUAGUUUAACUGGGGCGGUUGCCUCCUAAAAUGUAACGGAGGCGCCCAAAGGUUCCCUCAGCCUGGUUGGCAAUCAGGUGUCGAGUGCAAGUGCACAAGGGAGCUUGACUGUGAGACUGACAAGUCGAGCAGGGACGAAAGUCGGGACUAGUGAUCCGGCACCGGCAAGUGGAAGCGGUGUCGCUCAACGGAUAAAAGGUACCCCGGGGAUAACAGGCUGAUCUUCCCCAAGAGUCCAUAUCGACGGGAUGGUUUGGCACCUCGAUGUCGGCUCGUCGCAUCCUGGGGCUGGAGUAGGUCCCAAGGGUUGGGCUGUUCGCCCAUUAAAGCGGCACGCGAGCUGGGUUUAGAACGUCGUGAGACAGUUCGGUC
rnacentral:rRNA from 1 species